rnacentral:rRNA from 1 species
GUCUACGGCCAUGCCACCCUGAACAAGCCCAAUUCAGUCUGAUCUCGGAAGCUAAGCAGGGUCGGGCCUGGUUAGUACUUGGAUGGGAGACCACUUAGGAAGACCAGGUGCUGUAGGUG